CGCCCGGUGGGCGACGCCGCGUUCCCUCGUCCACUGGGGCCCCACCUGGAGUCCCGGGCGCGCGGGGAGGGUGGCCUUCACGCCGCGUGGAUGACAGGGUCAUCCCGACGUCGGAACUAAGCGACGACCUUAGAAGGAGUGGAGGCCGGGCCUGUCAUCUUCCUGCGGGCCUGGCAGCAGCGUGGGGCGGUGGACCCAAUCUAAUCAUCAGCUCCUGAAAAAUGGAAAACCUUUUCCAACUGGUGAGAGGGAGAUGUGACAGUGAAGGCUCAGAGGGAGAUGCACUAUUGCUGGCCUUGAAGAUUGAGGAUGGAGUCAAGAGCUAAGGAAUGAACAGGACCUCCAGAAGCUAGAAAAGAAAAUGUCUGCCAAAUACACAAGUCUGAAUCACUUCAGGUUGUCCGUCAUAUUUUCAAGAUGGUGCUCUAUGCAAAAAACAGUACAGGUUACGACUCACAAAAUGACGUAAGUGCUUUUCUUGGAGACAACCAAGAUACUUCAAAUUGUAGCAGAAAUGCUUUAUGCCUACGUCCCGUGGCAUCACACACAAUAUUAAAAACAGUACAGGAUCAAGGGCAGAGAUUAGAUGGAAUUAAUAAUUUUUACUGCUCACGCCUGUAAUCCCAGCACUUUGGGAGGCCGAGGUGGGUGGAUCACGAGGUCAGGAGAUCGAGACCAUCCUGGCUAACAAGGUGAAACCCCGUCUCUACUAAAAAUACAAAAAAUUAGCCGGGCGCGGUGGCAGGCGCCUGUAGUCCCAGCUACUCGGGAGGCUGAGGCAGGAGAAUGGCGUGAACCCGGGAAGCAGAGCUUGCAGUGAGCCGAGAUUGCGCCACUGCAGUCCGCAGUCCGGCCUGGGCGACAGAGCGAGACUCCGUCUCAAAAAAAAAAAUAAAAUAAAAAAAAAUAAUAAUAAUUUUUACUGCUUUAUUAAGUACAUUCUCAACUGAGACUGCCAUUUUAAAAAAAUCACCAAUAUCAUAGCAGUGAAGAAUGCAGCAUCGACUACUCUGUUUGGCGUCACAGAGUUUGUUCAUGCUAAGGCGUCAGCAGUUUUACCCAACACUGAUUUUGUUCCAUCAGUGCACAUAUCAACAUAGUGAAAAUGAGUGAUAACAAAGUCUUAAUAUUAUUAUGAAAACCAUUUUGCCCACACAGACCCUGGGGGUCUGCAGACCACACUUUGAGAACUGCUUAUUUAUGCCAUUUUAUCUAAGGACAUCUCCACCUUCAUUCCAUAUUUCUAUGAUGUGUAGUGCAUGGGCUUAGCAUUUUGGUGUCUGUUUCUGUAAACCAUUGCAAAGAUGUGCACACACACUUUAUUGUCAUAUUCUAACGAGAUUUAUGAAAUUCACAACACGUACUUUGUAGACAAUUUGGCAAAUGUUUUUCUUUUAAAAAUUCCUUGGCUUUCUCUGCAUUUUCUUGGGUUCUGUGUGCUACUAUACACAUGUUGAUUUAUGAAGGGAAGUAGUAGCUCUCAGAUGGUUAUUCCCACUUAGCCAGAAAUUACUUUGUUGACAGUGGAGAGAAAAGAAGUAAUGCAUACAUCUGGAUAACACUUUUAGUUUCAUUACAUUUUGUUUGCUUCCACAUCUAAAUUAUAAGAUAAUAUUGUAUUACGCUAAUUAGCAUUCAUGAUUUUUUCUGGCUUUACAGAUUUUGUUUCUAUGGUAAAGCGAUACACAUUCAUUAAAGAAAACUUAGAUAUUCUAGGCCAGGUGCAGUGGCUCACACCUAUAACCCAGCACUUUGGGAGGCCAAGGUGAGCGGAUCACAAGGUCAGGAGUUU